rnacentral:rRNA from 1 species
GUAUUCAGACUAGCCAUGCACGUCUAGUACAAACUAAAUGAUGGUGAAACUGCAAAUGGCUCAUUACAACGGUUAUGAUGUACCCGGGAGUUCCGAUGGAUAUUUCCAGUAACACUAGAACUAAUACAUGUCCCUGCGUUUAUUAGUUUCGCACAGUCCGUCGCUGAGUCAUGGUAAACAGUUGAUCGACUCGACGUCCCGGAACAGUUUCCGCCCCAUCAGCUUCGAUGGUUGGGUAUUGGCCUACCAUUGCAACAACGGGUAACGAGGAAUUAGGGUUUGAUUUCGGAGAGGGAGCCUGAGAAACGGCUACCACAUCUACGGAUGGCAGCAGGCGCGCAAAUUACCCAAUGCAGACACUGUGAGGUAGUGACGAGAAAUAAUAAAGCGGGACUUCUGUUUCGCUAUUAUAAUGAGGAAUAACCAAAGGUCAUUCCGAUUAGCAACUGAUGGGAAAGUCUGGUGCCAGCAGCCGCGGUAAUACCAGCGUCAGUAGCAUA